AGUGAACGCUGGCGGUAGGCCUAACACAUGCAAGUCGAACGGCAGCACAGUAAGAGCUUGCUCUUACGGGUGGCGAGUGGCGGACGGGUGAGGAAUACAUCGGAAUCUACUUUUUCGUGGGGGAUAACGUAGGGAAACUUACGCUAAUACCGCAUACGACCUACGGGUGAAAGCAGGGGAUCUUCGGACCUUGCGCGAUUGAAUGAGCCGAUGUCGGAUUAGCUAGUUGGCGGGGUAAAGGCCCACCAAGGCGACGAUCCGUAGCUGGUCUGAGAGGAUGAGCAGCCACACUGGAACUGAGACACGGUCCAGACUCCUACGGGAGGCAGCAGGGGGGAAUAUUGGACAAUGGGCGCAAGCCUGAUCCAGCCAUACCGCGUGGGUGAAGAAGGCCUUCGGGUUGUAAAGCCCUUUUGUUGGGAAAGAAAAGCAGCAGGUUAAUACCCCGCUGUUCUGACGGUACCCAAAGAAUAAGCACCGGCUAACUUCGUG
rnacentral:rRNA from 1 species